CGGGAGGCAGCAGUGAGGAAUAUUGGUCAAUGGUCGGGAGACUGAACCAGCCAAGCCGCGUGAGGGAUGAAGGUACAGAGUAUCGUAAACCUCUUUUGUCAGGGAACAAAGGCGGGGACGUGUCCCCGGAUGAGUGUACCUGAAGAAAAAGCAUCGGCUAACUCCGUGCCAGCAGCCGCGGUAAUACGGAGGAUGCGAGCGUUAUCCGGAUUUAUUGGGUUUAAAGGGUGCGCAGGCGGUCUGUUAAGUCAGCGGUCAAAGCCCGGGGCUCAACCCCGGCCCGCCGUUGAAACUGGCAGUCUCGAGUUGGAGAGAAGUAUGCGGAAUGCGCGGUGUAGCGGUGAAAUGCAUAGAUAUCGCGCAGAACUCCGAUUGCGAAGGCAGCAUGCCGGCUCCACACUGACGCUGAGGCACGAAAGCGUGGGUAUCGAACAGGAUUAGAUACCCUGGUAGUCCACGCAGUAAACGAU
rnacentral:rRNA from 1 species